AUGUGAGCAUUAAGGACCGUCAACAAGCUCCCCCAAGCUUACCUCUUGCUCGUCCCUGAGCAAGGAUGGACUCAAGAGUUUCUGCAGUGGUUUUAUGCCUUAAAGGUACUCAUACGUUCAAACAAGAUCUCAUCUCUGGGUUAGGGUAAACGAUUCAGAUUUAAACUUACUCAUUUUACGUUCCUCCAUGGGGCUUGCAACCGUCACUUGUGUCUUGAGCAGUUAAAAGAUAGAACGGUCUAGUCAAGCGCCAUGUCUCUUGAUCUUCGAUUAACUAUAGCUCUAGAGUUUUUGCAGAUUUUCAAAUAAAACUCAGAGAUUCCUUGUAUGACUCUCUCCAGUCUCUCUUUUGUGGUAUAUCUGGAUCCUUACCAAGGUAGUAAUGGUGUAUGCCUUCUCUCAAAGUAUGUGGUAUUUUUGGUAUGAGGCAUAGUGGCAUUGCCUUCUCUCUCACCCUACUCUAAUAAGGUUUUGAUAUCUGGAGCUCAUAGGUGGGAGACAGCUAAUACAUACUUACAAGACAUUUAUUGCAUAGUCAAACCAUGGAUCCAGAAGAACAAGUCAAUAAGUCAGAUCAAGAUGUGCAUGUGUGGCGAAUGAAUGGUGAUAAUGGUGAAAAUAAUGGUGAAAGUCUAAUUCUACUUUUGUUCUUUUGAGGGGGUACAUACCUUCCUUGCACUUGAGGCUUUUGAGGGGAAUGAGAUGCUCUAUAUUUUAUUUUUCUUUUCUCUCAGGUGGGUAUCUUGUACUCCUAAUUCUACUGUCGGACACUUAUCCAUUUUUACCUCUCGUCUCACUUUUACUUUUACUUUUUUUUUUGAGGUUUCGGGCACAUGCCCCUUUUUAUUUCCUCGUAUUCACUUUUUUCAGAGCACUCACCCUCCUGGAAUAAUGUAGCAAGCGGUAGUAACCAAAAUAUCUUUAGCAUUUAUUUCACGGGGAACAACAGGGAUAGGAUAAUGUUUUUGGCUAUUCUCUCCUAGAAAGGAGUAGAAUAAUUUUGGGUGAAUCUGGAUAUGGAAAUGAGUGGAUGUAUGUGGAUGCGUACUUCCGGAGUAGAAGCAGCAUGUAUAAGUGAACGUGCAAGUGAAUCUUGAUUUUAACCGCAUGACAAGCUCCUAAGGGUCUACACAGCUUGACCACACUCAAUGCUCAUAAGCAGUAAAUAGUAAAUGUAUGGUUCAUAGUCUAAUAAGCAUGUAUAUAUGGCUGUGGUAGGAUUUUAGACUCUCAUCAUACAGGAACUCAUCAUGCAACAUUUUAAAGAUUUUCAAAGAUAAAAUUCUCAGAAUUCUAGCAUCUCUAAGAACAGAUAAACAGAGCUCAACCUUCCCAUAUCGUAUCCGUUAACGACUUAGACUUUAGAUUAAGUACUCUUCCCACAAGUUCAGGUUUAGAGCAAAUUUUAAUUAAUAACAGUCAUGCCUAAACUUGAGAGAGAUUUCAAUUUUGAGAACUAGUCAUGGUAGAGCAACUAUUCAUCAUUUCCAUGUGAGAGCUUAUCAUGAGGGUUUAUAGCAAACUUUAUUUAUUUAUUUAUUUAGCAAACUAAGCAAAGAUAUAUAUAUAAGCACAAAAUCUUUAUUUGGGUUUUUAUAAUUAUGCAUCUUUUUAUUAUUUGAGUAAAGUAUAAAUGUGAGUAGAACACUUAGCUGGAUAAUUGGGGGUGCUCUCCCCCAAGCUGGAUUUUGACGCAAUUUCUUCUGAUGUAGCUAGCAGGUGGCGGAGGUGUAUUUGAAUGUCGGCAGCACCCUGACAGUGAUUAGGAUGUCCUCUGUCUGCUUAGUCUUCUUUGAUCAUUGAAUUCUGUGGAGCUCAAAUAGACAAAAAAAGCUUUGUGGAACUGGUUAAGUGUUAGCAUAAAAUCUCUUAGCCAUUAUCAUGUUGAGCUUCCUCUAAUAAAUAUUACUCUCUUUGGUAAGAUCGUAAAUUUAUUUUUAUAUUUUCAUUUUUAUAUGACAGGAAUAUAUUUAUUUUAUUUUUACGCCACCACAGUGAAUGUACUUAUGGAUUUUAUACCAUGAGCAUACUCACAUGGGGCUUACCUUUUUUUAAUAGUUUUAUUUUCUUUACAAGAUAGCAUGAUUAACUAACAAGCCAUUUAAUGAAAGUAAAUAAUUUAAGGGAAAAGGGAAUGCAGAAAGGAUAUAGAUAUUAAUAACUACCAAUUUUACCUUACGGCGAGGGUUCAAUGUUUUAAGUCUUCUGAACAAGACUUCUCACCGUGUUCAUUCUUUAGGUGCGUCAUUUGAUUCAGGUGUGGACCUUGACGUCUGCACCUCUUGAUACAGUGUCACCCAUGUUCUUCGUUUGCCCAGCAGUUCGAAGUGCGGUGUUGGCACCAUCCUGCUCAGUAUGUUUGUGCUCGUAGAUCCAGGUCCUUCACUUGGUGGAGUCUGGGAGUUGUAAAACUCCUCCAUGUUUUGCUCGAAGUGUACCUGCUCAUAGAGACGAGGCAGAGAUCAAGUGUAUGGGCCCUGUUGGUGGAAAACACCAACAGAACCAAAAGUGUAUUUGUUCUUCUCUAACCUUAAGCAUUGUGAGCAAGACAAAGUUGAUGGAUAAUAAAAUCAUGAGUGUAGCAUUAUAUAUAUAUAUAUAUAUAUUCCAAAGAUUGCGUGUGCAACAAUUUAGCUCAUAUGAUUAGGAGUGUGGGAUCACAACGGUGGAAGGACUAAACAUAUUGAAUCGAUUGAGUUGGUUAAUCUAGAGUUGUAAAUCAUACAUGUUUGUCUCUUUUAUUCAUGUGAACGCCAGAACCAAGGAGAAGCUAAUAAAAGUGAUAGUCAAGUAUCUUAAGAUGUUACCUUACUUGAAGAGUGAUGGUACAGAAUUACCUUGUGGAAGCUUUCCUUUCUUAGCAGUUGU
rnacentral:lncRNA from 1 species